rnacentral:rRNA from 1 species
CCCUUAGAUGCUCUGGGCCGCACGCGCGCUACACUGGUCGAUGCAACGAGUUUCUUUCCUUGGCCGACAGGCCUGGGCAAUCUUUGAACAUCGAUCGUGAUCGGGAUAGAUUCUUGUAAUUUUUGAUCUUAAACGAGGAAUUCCUAGUAAACGCAAGUCAUCAGCUUGCAUUGAUUACGUCCCUGCCCUUUGUACACACCGCCCGUCGCACCUACCGAUUGAAUGGUUCGGUGAAAUCUCCGGACUGGCGUGAGUCGGAGCAAUCUGACAAACGCCGGAAAGUUGAUUAAACCUUACCAUUUAGAGGAAGGUGAAGUCGUAACA